rnacentral:rRNA from 1 species
GACGAACGCUGGCGGCGUGCUUAACACAUGCAAGUCGAACGGAAAGGCCCUGCUUUUGUUGGGUGCUCGAGUGGCGAACGGGUGAGUAACACGUGAGUAACCUGCCCUUGACUUUGGGAUAACUUCAGGAAACUGUGGCUAAUACCGGAUAGGAGCUCCUGCUGCAUGGUGUGGGUUGGAAAGUUUCGGCGGUUGGGGAUGGACUCGCGGCUUAUCAGCUUGUUGGUGGGGUAGUGGCUUACCAAGGCUUUGACGGGUAGCCGGCCUGAGAGGGUGACCGGCCACAUUGGGACUGAGAUACGGCCCAGACUCCUACGGGAGGCAGCAGUGGGGAAUAUUGCACAAUGGGCGGAAGCCUGAUGCAGCAACGCCGCGUGCGGGAUGACGGCCUUCGGGUUGUAAACCGCUUUCGCCUGUGACGAAGCGUGAGUGACGGUAAUGGGUAAAGAAGCACCGGCUAACUACGUG